rnacentral:rRNA from 1 species
UACGUAGGGACCAAGCGUUGUUCGGAUUUACUGGGCGUAAAGGGCGCGUAGGCGGCGCGGUAAGUCACUUGUGAAAUCUCUGAGCUUAACUCAGAACGGCCAAGUGAUACUGCAGUGCUAGAGUGUGGAAGGGGCAAUCGGAAUUCUUGGUGUAGCGGUGAAAUGCGCAGAUAUCAGGAGGAACACCGGUGGCGAAGGCGGUUCUCUGGGCAUGACCUGACGCUGAGGAGCGAAAGUGUGGGGAGCGAACAGG